AUUGAACGCUGGCGGCAGGCCUAACACAUGCAAGUCGAACGAGUGGCGGACGGGUGAGUAAUGUCUGGGAAACUGCCCGAUGGAGGGGGAUAACUACUGGAAACGGUAGCUAAUACCGCAUACCAUCGGAUGUGCCCAGAUGGGAUUAGCUAGUAGGUGGGGUAACGGCUCACCUAGGCGACGAUCCCUAGCUGGUCUGAGAGGAUGACCAGCCACACUGGAACUAGAACACGUUCCAGGUCCCUAGGGAGGGAAGCAGUGGGGAAUAUGGCACAAUGGGCGCAAGCUGGAUGCAGCCAUGCCGGGUGUAUGAAGAAGGCCUUCGGGUUGUAAAGUACUUUCAGCGAGGAGGCGUUACUCGCAGAAGAAGCACCGGCUAACUCCGUGCCAGCAGCCGCGUAAUUC
rnacentral:rRNA from 1 species